UUGUUUUGAAUAGGAUGAGAAAGCUCUUCUUCUCAAAUGAACGCUAUUUCUCUAAUGAGAAUGUGAUCAACAUUUAAAAUCUCUCCCGGGGAAGGAACUGAGAAGAAAACAUUUUUUUUUUCCCUUGGGAGUUUUGUGACUUAUCUGCCAAGAAUGUGAAGUGUGGGGGGUACUCAGACAUUUUACUCCAAAAGCCAUUUCAGAAGGCCUUAUUUUGGAAAAACAUUUUCUAUCUGACAGUUUGUGCUGCUUCUAUCUUUUCAUUUCGGUUGCAAUCUUUGACUGCUGAAUUUGGCACAAUUAAGUGACCCACUACGUGCAUAAUCAGCCCUGUUGACC
rnacentral:lncRNA from 1 species